CAUCAAUAACUGGAUUCGAAAGCCGACAAUUUUCCAUAUUUAUUCAAACCAGUUUUAUUAUAAUAACACCCUUAAGAGUCUUAAUCUAAUAACAAAAACCGUCUAUUCUGAUAACACCUCCUAACCUCAGCCCACCAACCCAUGCACGCACUUACCUCCACAUCUCUUCCUCCCCUAUCCCCUCGAUCCCCUCCGCCUCCACCACCAUUCUUCCCCCCAGCCAGCUCCCCGCACCCACGCCCCAGAUCCGUCGCCCGGAUGCACGAUAGAAGCAGUUACUAGCCCGGAUGUGUCGCCGGGAGCCUACCACCCCGGCAUCCUCCUCCGGUGAGCCGGCCACGGGAUCCGGGCCUCCCCCGACCCGCCUCGCGACCUACCUCCCCCGCGCUGGCCCGCACCACCUCCGUCCAGCCGUCGUCCCCCGGCACACGCGCCGCCGUCACAGACCUUCGGAUCUUGGCCGCCGCCCAGUCCACCGCGCCACACCGGCACCUCCCCGGUCAUCUACUUCCUCGCGGGCCGCAUGGCGGGUUGCUGGCUCCGGCCCGCACCACUUCUGCGUCCCUCGGGUGCCGCCUCUCCCGGAUGGAGAUCUACCUGCACCGCACCUAGGGACACAGAGGAGGCGGAGGCUCUAAGCCGCUAGCCUUCCCCACCUGCAGCACCUGGGGAGUGAGCAGCACGGCAGCUAGGAGAGCAGCGAGAGCACCGCCGCUCCUCACCUCCCUCACUUGAUUCUUGCAGUUCGGUCACGCACACCCAUGCGGUUUGUCCCUGCUAGCACCCAUGUUGUCUUCCUACUGACGGCGAGCAGUGCAGAUAAAAUAUCGUUGCAGGUAGUUGUGGUCGUCGAUGCAGUUCGCACGCACAUGAUGGCGUCACGGCGUGCAGUUCCGACGAGUCAACCCACCUCCUCAUCUCCCCCGCAUCGGAUACGACAAGCUCUAUCACCACGCGCUGGCGGCCGGAUCCCCACCUGCGCGCGUGCAGCUGGACUCCUUCCUCCACCGCAAAUCUGACCCCCGUCGCCUCCUUCUCAUUCAGUGCGUUGAUGCAGUUCGUUGAGGGUGAGCCCUCGCAGUCUCCGGCAUGUGUCGUGCAGUGCGGUGCACGCGUUCGUGUAGUCCGGUGGCGGUGCCGAUGUAAGAAGUGCGGUGAGCAGUUUGUCGCCAAUCAACCCCCUCCUACUCCGUUCGAGCUCCUUGCCGUGAUCAGGCCGUGGGCUCCUCAAUGGCGCCGGAGUGGACGGAUGAUGGGUCCAGGAUGGCGAUGGCUCCGGUUGCCCAAGGCGAGGGGCCCCUCUCUGCAGCUCACUGAAGUUUUUUUUGCAGCUCACUGAAGUUUGCUUUGCAGCUCGCUUGCUGGUACAGUGCAUUGGUAACGCCUUCGUGCAGUUGAAGCAACGUGUGCGUGCAGUACGUCCAGCGAGCACGUGUGGUUCAGCGGCUAAAAGCAUUUGCAUUCUCGCUAUGUUAAUGUGUGUGGUUCAGUGCAUUUUAUAAAAAGUGCAGCAGGGUUGUAGUUUGUGUGUGAUUGUAGUGUGGAGACAGAAAAAAAAACUAUUUGUGUGGAUUACUCAGUUUGUAAAAUCUUUUUUUGUGAAAGCAGUGCGCUCAAUGAACCGAAGAAGUACAUUUUUCAAAGUUCA